rnacentral:tRNA from 1 species
GCUCCUGUGGUGCAAUCGGUUAGCGCACGGUACUAAUAAUGCCGAGGUUGUGAGUUCCAGCCUCACCUGGAGCA